UCCAGACUCCUACGGGAGGCAGCAGUGGGGGAUAUUGCACAAUGGGGGAAACCCUGAUGCAGCGACGCCGCGUGGGUGAAGAAGUAUUUCGGUAUGUAAAGCCCUAUCAGCAGGGAAGAAAGAAGACGGUACCUGACUAAGAAGCCCCGGCUAACUACGUGCCAGCAGCCGCGGUAAUACGUAGGGGGCGAGCGUUAUCCGGAUUCACUGGGUGUAAAGGGAGCGUAGACGGCCGUGCAAGCCAGGAGUGAAAGCCCGGGGCCCAACCCCGGGACUGCUCUUGGAACUGUGCGGCUGGAGUGCGGGAGGGGCAGGCGGAAUUCCUGGUGUAGCGGUGAAAUGCGUAGAUAUCAGGAGGAACACCGGCGGCGAAGGCGGCCUGCUGGACCGCGACUGACGUUGAGGCUCGAAAGCGUGGGGAGCGAACAGGAUUAGAUACCCGAGUAAUA
rnacentral:rRNA from 1 species